rnacentral:rRNA from 1 species
UACGGAGGGUGCAAGCGUUGUCCGGAAUUAUUGGGCGUAAAGAGCUCGUAGGCGGUCUGUUACGUCCGCUGUGAAAACCCAGGGCUUAACCCUGGGCUUGCAGUGGAUACGGGUAGACUAGAGGCAGGUAGGGGAGAAUGGAAUUCCCGGUGUAGCGGUGAAAUGCGCAGAUAUCGGGAGGAACACCGGUGGCGAAGGCGGUUCUCUGGGCCUGACCUGACGCUGAGGAGCGAAAGCGUGGGGAGCGAACAGG